rnacentral:lncRNA from 1 species
UAUAUCGUCAACUGAAAUAAAUUAAUUAGAAAAACUUAUUAAUAAUUUUGCAUCUCAAAAACUUACAAAUAGACUACUAUAUAUGAAGUAUCACGAUCCAAAACUCCAACUUGUCGUGAUGACCCCUAAAGAUAGUACUAGGCCAGCCAAGUUUCAAUAAUACUUUUAUAUUUCAUCAAAAGAUAAACUAAAAGUCGAUUUCAUAAGAGGAAUCACAUAUAGAGUUAAAUUAAGAAUAAAAAUACGAAAAACAUAGCCAGACAUUGGGGUGUCACUAAGUCAUGAGCAUCUAAGCAUAACUGAUCCGAACAUAACACAACUAACAAAGCCUGAAAUCCAAAUACAACUAAAGGAAAGAUUAGGAAAAAAAAAGCAAGGCUGUGAAAGCGGGGCAGCUACCUUGCUAUCACCAAUAAUCAACUAUGAAGACUAUCAGAACCCUCCAUGACCAACAACUCCUGGAUCUGCAUACAAGGUGCAUGAAGUAACAUGAGUACACCAACUCAAUAAGUAACAAUAACAAAUAAGGAACUGAAGAUAGUGACGAG